CAAGCACUCGACACCAGAUGACAAGGGUGGUUCAGCCUUCAGUGGGGGAAUAUGUCACUGUCAGAUACAUACGAACAGGAUUAAUGUGACAACAUUCGGGAAUACAUCUACUAUAUUCUUCAUAACGGAUUUAAUCUGAUUUAAGAUGGCGCUGGUUUUCAACACACCCAUGAGGGAUGUCGGGUGGUUUGCCCUCGCAUUCACAACUUACCUUAUCGGAGUGACUUUUGGAAAAGACGUCAUUGUUGACGUCAUGGCAAAACACGUCACACAACUACGAAUCAAUUGGACAAUUCAAGGAGAAGCUGACACUCUCAAAUUAGAAUAUGCAAAGAAGGACUACCCUGGGCGUACAACAAUAGAACUAGUAAAUAAUGCAACAGAAUUCACAAUCGAAGACUUAGUCGCAAAUACAAAGUAUAAUGUGUGCGUACAUGUGACGAAAACAUCAACAACGUUUUCUGACUGUAAGUAUAUUAAGACAAUUCCGGUGAUGCGCGAUGAUAGCAUUAUUGCACUUAUCGUCGUUAUCCUGAUUGUGAUACUUCUUAUUGGUGCCGGCUUCUGCUAUCAGCGAUAUCGCAGAAAUGUGUUAGAUCGCAAAAUGGAACAGGAUGAACAAGGACUGCAGGCUCAUGAGAAUAACAUUGAUGACGAAGAUCAUUAUGAACACCCCAAAUCGGCAAUCGAAGACGAGCAAGUUAACGUCCGGUUAUAACCGUGAUAAAUCGCGUAGGAAUAGGAACUAGGAACAAAGUACCUGUGGAGGAAGGAUGUAGUUGUGUAUGGACACCCACCUUGGAAAAUCAAAAGUUCAAAGUUAGAUAUUCGCAGCUUUCUGCAAAGUAAACUGUACACUGGAAAAUACAGGUUGUGUUGUCUUGUCAGACCUUCAGAAACUUCCUCAUUUCUAGAAUUGUGGUCCCAGAAUUGCAAUGGGGUAUGGUCUUGCGUCUCCACCACCUGACAAUAACUGGCCGAGUGUUAUAACAAGUAUAUAACUAUUUCAAUUAAAUCUCAAUAGAAGAAAGUGGACUCUGAAGCUAGAAGGAUAUGCGUGAUUUUGCGAAGUAUUUCUGGAACCUAAGCCUCUUACACUGCUGAUAAUAAUGAUGAAAAUUGUUAUCAAAUCAAACAUGUCUCUGCGAAAAUCACAGAAUUCAUGAAUCAUACACGCCACCUGGCUUACCUGGGAAUGAUGACAUCACACCUUGUAGGCCCAAGCGAAAUUUGUCAUACUGAGUAACCUGUAAGUCACUCACAGAUCGCUCUUGUCGAUGAAAUUCAAAAUAUUCAUUUUGGAAAGACUCCUCCGUAACGUAUACAAAUAUAUUGAGAACAAAGGCACAACAGAUCUGUCAUAAAAUUGUGCAGUGUGACUUACCUGUUCUUUUAGUUUAAUAUGAUACAUGUACUUUAUUUUUCAAACAUCUUUGCCUAUACAAAAUAGUUCACUUCCAAGGGCUGAAGCAAUGCAUUAAUAGCCCUGUUCUUUUGUCAUGUUUGCAAGUUGCGACACUCGGCUCAGCACUAGAUAUGAAAUCAUUAUUCUUGGGUUGACAACAAAACGCUAGGUGACUUCAUUGCUUGAAUUAACAAUACACAAAUUUGGCAUCAACAUUUCUGACCGACAUUUUUUAUUAUCAUUAUCAUUAUUAUUUAUAUCAUUAUUAUGAUAUCCAAAUAAAAACUGUUUUAAAAUGUCUGUUCACCUUUGAGAAAACACUUCUAAAAAUGGGGUGAAGAUUACAAAAUAGGGCUGGCAUAAACAAAGCUGUGAGGCCUCCAGGGACAUUCUGAUUUAUAGUACCGGUGCGAGUGAACAGGAUCAAAUCAUGAGAAGUGUGUCCAGAUAAUGCCAGCAUUCUAAAGGAAGUUUACAGAGUUGUUGAAAAGAGUGGUUUCUGGGAUAUAAAAACUGGGUGGACGCAAUUUAGCAAGUUGAAGGGUGCCUGAGCAAAAGGUGUAAACUACGUGUGACAGGCCUAUGAUACGCACCAAAACCAGUUAAAUAGUGUCUAUGUAGAAUGUAUCAGAAAAAAACACAUAUUGGAGCGGUCAAUUGUGUUACAUGUAAUCAAUUUAGAAAUAUUUUUGAGUAUUUUACCAUGGUAUCUUUACAGAUUAUUUGCAAACUUUUAAAACAUAAUAGUAGCUGUCGUGUAUUAAUCUCUAUUCUUAUCGAAUGUGUACAUGUUUAAUACAUUGUAAAGCGCUUAAAAGGUUUAACCUUAAGUGCUAUAAAAAUGGUAAUAACAACACCAUCCAUACAUGAUAUUAACAAUAAAAUUCAACAAGACUGCCAAGCACGUAGAUCUGUAGCACACCCUGAAAUCAUCUUAAAGAGAUCCAGUCGUGGCAAAAGUCUUUAUUUAGACUACCUACAAUACCUAAAAUAACUAAAUUUGUGAUUAACUCUUAUGCAGUUUAUUGACUGGUGUCAGUUAUGUUAUGCAACUAUAUACAAUGUUACCCAGAUUCCCAACUCACAUAAAAAACAACUACCUGGGGAACUCGAAACUGCUAAGUUUCAUCAAUGAAAGCUUAUUCCCGUCUUAGGUUUUAACCGGGCCUUUCAAUACUCCCUAUUUUAUAAGCGUUUCGCUACAGGUUUCCUUUAACAUGUUAAAAGUGUUGAACCAGCAGUAUCUCAUGAUACUCCUCCAUACGCUGCCUUGAAUAUCUAGUACAAACCAAUGUCUCUGUUUUAUCAGCAGCAGAUGUGGCUGUCGUGGACUUAUAGCAUAUUGGUAGCUAUUAUCUUCUGUUGCUUUUGUAUCGAGGCAAGUGGUUGAAACAUGUAGAACUCCAUUAAAUUACACUGAAUCUUCAAAACAGUUUUUUAAGGAAAUUUGUCAUUUUGAGAUAGAAAUUUCAAUAUUGUUAAAGCCAUUUGUCUGGUACGUGUAAUCCAAACAAAACUGUGUAGAUUCAUUUUUGCAGUAGCAUUUAAUAGAAAAGGAAAGAAAUCAUCUAAAUAAAGGUGGGUUGAAUUCAAACAGACUUCAACUCCAGAGAUAAUGGGCAUUAUAACUAUGCCACACUGGCAAAGUGAUUGAAAAUAGUACUUAGACCUUUUGGUCCCUUAUCGAGAAUGUGUUAACUGGCAGAAGACUCGGUUUCAGAGCAGAAGAUAUCAUUUAAAGCAACAAUGACAAUACAGCAUAACUCUAUGAGUGAACAGGGUGACAAUUCAACAAGAAAUAUCUCAAGUUCAAGAGGUGAUUUUGAAAAGACCUCAGACUGCAAAGUGAACAUGCCAGAGAGAACUGAGAAGCAGCAGAGUUCUCCACUAGCCUAAUGGUCUGGCAGGUUGCCUGACCAUUAAGGGAUAUCAGGCGGCCCAUUACCGAAAAAAUAAAGACUUUGAAAUUGUUUUUUAUGACCCAGAGACACCUCUAGUCCACUUUCAGUAGCUCCAAUGUGCCUCUAAAGACAUGAAAAAUGCUUUAAAAGUUCACAAAAGUCAAGAAAUGUAACUAAAGAAGAACUUUGAAGAAAAAUGUCGAUUUUUUUCCAUUGAAUUUCGUAGAUCUGCAAGACCAUUCACAGAACCUGCGGAGAACACUGAAGCAGAUGUCUGAAAAUCACUCAAAACCACACAACAACUGCAACGUAGGUGGUCGAAACUAUAGAAUUUUUCCCAAGAGAGACAUAAUAUAAUGUAUGGAAAACAGUUCCAAGUUUCUCGUCGACUUCAGUGUUAAUCCAGCAUAAAAGUUACCCAGUAAUCAAACUGAAUUUAACGCACAAAAACAAAUCCAUGAAAACGUUUUUGAAUUUUGCUAUUAAAUUUUUAGGUUUAUACAGUAUCUGAUAAUUUUGGUCAGUGUGACUGGAAUGUAUAUACUGUAUUUAUGUUGUCGAGUCAAAGGAUCUUAAUAAAUAUAACUGAAGGGUUAAUUGUAUAAAAUGUAUAUUUAAUCAAAAUCACAGAAUUCUUAAAUUGUAGAUUAAAAAAUUGUGAUUUUUUGAACAUAUUUUUCAUGAUUUUAAGGGGAUUUGGUUUUUAUCAAGUAACUCCCAUGUAUUUAGUGGACCCUGUAUGAUCUUUCCUGAAUUAUACGCCAAAGUUCUAUAUACCCCUAAGACAACAGAGAAUGGUAUCACUCUCUCAAUCACCUUGCACACUGAGAGAUGACAGGUCAUCCCAGGGGAUGACGAUGUUAGAGCAUGAAUUGUAAGGUUGACCCCAAGAUGCAAGAUGUUGUGAGGGUCUCCAUUGUAGGGUUAGAACGGCAUAAUCACUCCCUACCAAAAGUCUGUAGGAAAGUUUCGUGUAAUAUAAAAACCAUUUUGUAUAGUAUUUGCUGUCAAAAGGCUGCAGAACUCAAUAUAUCACAUCACUAUCAGCGACCAAAACUGUGAAAAUAAAUGUACAUUUAACUGGUUCACAGGAAGCUUUAUUGAUGUUGCAGUUUACUAUAUCGCUACAUGUAUUUUGUCUGUAUAGCCAAUGAAAUGAAUAAGAUCAAAAGAAUGUAAUAUUUCGCCUAAAAAUAAUAAUAGGCAUGAAAGUAUAUGUUUGUGCUUCAAUCGUUUUUUUAAUUUUGUCUCUUAUCAAGGAUGUUUUCUUCAUUAUCUAAAAUCAAGUGGUAGUUAAUGAUAUAGAAAAGUAUUAUAUUAUACAGCAGAACCUCUCUUAGCGGACACCUCUCUAUUAAGGACACAAGUUUUGGUCCCAAAUUGGGUGUUUCCAUUCGAAUCACCCUCAGUAAUCAGGACACCUCUCUAUUAGGGACAGCAUUUAUCAGUCCCAAGGGUGUCCUUAAUAGAGAGGUUCUACUGUACUUAGUAGGCAGAUUUUACAGUUUUCCUCUAGUUUCGAAAUUUUCAGUUGCUUCAUGCAAGUUCAAGCAAAGUUCUGCAAGGAUGUGUCGAUUGUCGACAAAGAGGACAGGCGGUUUCAAAUAGGGAUAUGGGGUGCAAUCUACAAGAGACCUUAAUCCUCUCCUCUGAAGAAGCCAUUCUGGACUAUGGUGAAACUGUCGACAGUAAUCUCCAGUAAAUUUGAAUCCAGUGUCAGCAGUGAACAGGUUGAAAAAAGAAAAAAAGAAACAGUUGACAUAACUGACAAUCGAUGAAAACUCCAUUGAAGAAAAGUCUGCUAAAAGUGAAAAGGACUGAAACUUAGAAAAAUUUGAAUCUACAUGUAACAUGUUGCUAUUUUGAAUUGAAUUAUGAAGAAACGUCUUAAUUUUUUAUUCAAUGUCUUUUAUAUAUUUAUAUCAUUGUUCAAUAUUCUUUGUGGAUAUGGGUGUUUCUCCUUGUGUGAUGAUAAAGCAUUAUCCAUGUUUUGAAAAUAAAUGGUCAAAAAUUCAAAA